CAGUCGACGAUGAACCACUUCGGUGGGGAUUAGUGGCGAACGGGUGAGUAACACGUGGGCAAUCUGCCCUGCACUCUGGGACAAGCCCUGGAAACGGGGUCUAAUACCGGAUACUGAUCUGCUUGGGCAUCCAAGUGGUUCGAAAGCUCCGGCGGUGCAGGAUGAGCCCGCGGCCUAUCAGCUUGUUGGUGAGGUAGUGGCUCACCAAGGCGACGACGGGUAGCCGGCCUGAGAGGGCGACCGGCCACACUGGGACUGAGACACGGCCCAGACUCCUACGGGAGGCAGCAGUGGGGAAUAUUGCACAAUGGGCGAAAGCCUGAUGCAGCGACGCCGCGUGAGGGAUGACGGCCUUCGGGUUGUAAACCUCUUUCAGCAGGGAAGAAGCGAAAGUGACGGUACCUGCAGAAGAAGCGCCGGCUAACUACGUGCCAGCAGCCGCGGUAAUACGUAGGGCGCAAGCGUUGUCCGGAAUUAUUGGGCGUAAAGAGCUCGUAGGCGGCUUGUCACGUCGGUUGUGAAAGCCCGGGGCUUAACCCCGGGUCUGCAGUCGAUACGGGCAGGCUAGAGUUCGGUAGGGGAGAUCGGAAUUCCUGGUGUAGCGGUGAAAUGCGCAGAUAUCAGGAGGAACACCGGUGGCGAAGGCGGAUCUCUGGGCCGAUACUGACGCUGAGGAGCGAAAGCGUGGGGAGCGAACAGGAUUAGAUACCCUGGUAGUCCACGCCGUAAACGGUGGGCACUAGGUGUGGGCAACAUUCCACGUUGUCCGUGCCGCAGCUAA
rnacentral:rRNA from 1 species